GGUGUCAAGUCAGAGGCAUUCAUUCUCACAAAUAAUUUUUUCGCCUCCUCCAUCUGUCCAAGCUUCGAAAACCUAUUUAUUAAUAUGGAGAAAGUGAAGACAUCAGGACUCAAACCCCUCUGGGACAUAUCAACAAGCAACUCCUUAGCAGACUGCAAAUUUCCUGCUUCAAGAGUUGAAUCAAUAAUAAUAUUGAAUGAGAUUACGUCUGGUUCACAAUUUCCAUCUAACAUCUCUUGAAACAACCUCCUUGCUUGCUCCAAGCUACCCUCUUUGCAUAAGGCAUCCAUCAAGCUGUUGUAAUCAAAUGCAGUUGGAUGAUAUCCCUUCUUUCUAAAUCUGAGAAACAAACCUUUU
rnacentral:misc_RNA from 1 species